GCCCCAGUAACGGCGAGUGAAGCGGCAACAGCUCAAAUUUGAAAUCUGGCCCCUAGGGUCCGAGUUGUAAUUUGUAGAGGAUGCUUUUGGUGAGGUGCCGCCCGAGUUCCCUGGAACGGGACGCCGCAGAGGGUGAGAGCCCCGUCUGGCUGGCCACCGAGCCUCUGUAAAGCUCCUUCGACGAGUCGAGUAGUUUGGGAAUGCUGCUCAAAAUGGGAGGUAUAUGUCUUCUAAAGCUAAAUAUUGGCCAGAGACCGAUAGCGCACAAGUAGAGUGAUCGAAAGAUGAAAAGCACCUUGAAAAGAGGGUUAAACAGUACGUGAAAUUGUUGAAAGGGAAGCGCUUGUGACCAGACUUGGGCGCGGCGGAUCAUCCGGGGUUCUCCCCGGUGCACUUCGCCGUGUUCAGGCCAGCAUCAGUUCGGCGCGGGGGAAAAAGGCUUCGGGAACGUGGCUCCUCCGGGAGUGUUAUAGCCCGUUGCAUAAUACCCUGCGCUGGACUGAGGACCGCGCAUCUGCAAGGAUGCUGGCGUAAUGGUCACCAGCGACCCGUCUUGAAACACGGACC
rnacentral:rRNA from 1 species